rnacentral:rRNA from 1 species
GUGGGGAAUAUUGGACAAUGGGCGAAAGCCUGAUCCAGCCAUGCCGCGUGUGUGAAGAAGGUCUUCGGAUUGUAAAGCACUUUAAGUUGGGAGGAAGGGCAGUAAGUUAAUACCUUGCUGUUUUGACGUUACCGACAGAAUAAGCACCGGCUAACUUCGUGCCAGCAGCCGCGGUAAUACGAAGGGUGCAAGCGUUAAUCGGAAUUACUGGGCGUAAAGCGCGCGUAGGUGGUUUUGUAAGUUGGAGGUGAAAUCCCCGGGCUCAACCUGGGAACUGCCUCGAAAACUGCAUGACUAGAGUACGGUAGAGGGUAGUGGAAUUUCCUGUGUAGCGGUGAAAUGCGUAGAUAUAGGAAGGAACACCAGUGGCGAAGGCGACUACCUGGACUGAUACUGACACUGAGGUGCGAAAGCGUGGGGAGCAAACAGGAUUAGAAACCCGUGUAGUCC